rnacentral:lncRNA from 1 species
GGACAUGGUUGAGCAAGGAAUCGUGAGGAGUCAGACCCCGGCAGAGCCUCCAAUUGGAGUCUAUCUCCAGCAGAUGCCUUACCCCUGCUUUGUGGAUGACUCCUUCAUGAUCAUCCUGAAUCGCUGUUUCCCCAUCUUCAUGGUGCUGGCAUGGAUCUACUCUGUCUCCAUGACUGUUAAGGGCAUUGUCUUGGAAAAGGAGCUGAGGCUGAAGGAGACCUUGAAGAACCAAGGUGUCUCUAACGCUGUGAUUUGGUGUACUUGGUUCCUGGACAGCUUCUCCAUUAUGUCAAUGAGUAUCUUCCUCCUGACGCUGUUCAUCAUGAACCCCUUCCUACAUCCCAAAUAAACUUCAUUUUAUAUU